UGAAAAUAUUUUAUCUAAAAAUGCUGAAUACGGCUUUCUCCCUUUGCCCUCUACUUCGCAGCCACCACAAGGACUUACUUUUGAAAAAACACUAGAUUCUACAUUAACUGAAUGUGAGAAGAUCCUGCUGAGUCAUUUGACUCAAACUAAAUUAAGCUUAAAGCGUUUGGUAGUCGAAAUGCGAACUGUGAGGAAGACACUAAUAAAUUGUUUGUAGCUUAUAACGAUAUUAGCGGGGUCCGCACUGACAUGCCUAAUAGAAAUAAUAAUGAUGACAUUCAAGUUGUUGAUGAGAUAGUUUAUCCUGUUUUGUCUUUGCCCAAUGAAAUCGAUUUCUUUUUAUAUGAAAAUUAUUUAUGUAACUUUUUGGAGCAGCCAGUAGUAUAUGUUAGUGGUUAUUUAGCUGCAAAAUUAUUAGAUAGAACGAAAUGUCAGAAAUGUAAAGAUUCGUUAAAAGUUGAUAAACCAGUAGACAACUUAAACAAUUAUAUUAGUUUUAAAGAAUGGUGGAAAGAUUCGAGCUCAUUGUGCUUUCCUUCUAAACCUUUAUGUCAUUUUGUAAACAAGAGCCAAAUUCAUUUCAAAGCUAUUAUAUCUCAGGACUUACAAAUUAAAAAUAUAAAGCAGUAGACUAGUUUGCAAUUAAGUAAUGAGCAUUUUAUAGAAAAAAACAAAUCAAUUAAUUCAUAAUCUUUGUUUAUUAUUCAUUAGAAAAUCAUGUAAAGACAAAAAUAUACAAUUAGAAUAAUGUGAUCAAGACAAAGCUUAGAUAACAAUUUUUAAGAUUCUUGUUGAAUAUUUAUAUUGUCAGUACUAUAAAACAAUGUUUGUAGAAAACAUACAUAUUGGCAGUUCUUCUUGACAUCUAAUGUCUUUGCAAUGUUUUUUGUUUUCCAAGUUUUUAAAUGUGUAUAUUUUAGCUUAGAAACAAAAAAAAAAAUCCGCUGUGGCUUCGCCCACAUAGAUUACGCGAUUUUCGCUAUUUCGUUUUCUCCCAUAAUCUGCUGUUCGUUUAUCCACAUACCAUUAAAUGGCGUACAUGGAAUUGUAGCAUCCCGUGAAAGAAUUUUUAAAAUCGAUAGUACUUUAUGGAAUUACCUACUACAAACAUUUAAUAAUACAAAAAUAAGAAUUUAGAAGAUUACUCUAAAUAUGUUCUUAUUAUGUUUGUAAAUCAUUAUGUUUUUUAUCUGUAUGCCUAGGAUCAUUAUAUAACGCUUUUCA